CUUGUCCCUUCCUUUCCGCUACUGAGAACGUGCGCGCAGAAAGGACCCAGCCGCGCCGUCCGCUCCUUCGCGCAAGCCCCCCUCCCCCCCACACAGCCGCCGCACCCUUCUUCCCGUCCUCCACCCCGCCUGGGCGCCGCCUCCUCCUCUCCCUCUUCCGCGGCUCGCCCAGCCACCGUUCCCAGCCCCGCUGCUUCGUCGUUUGCUCCUCCACUGACGGCAGUUUAGGUAAGACGAAGAUGAGCGUCCGAUCUACGCCCUCGCCAGGUUGCCUCCAUUAGUGAGGAGCGGCCGAUCCACGUGUGUGCCGUCGCUGCAGGGAUAGCGAAUGUCAGCGAGAUAGGCCGUCGUUGGAGCACGCAGCCGUGUCCCUCUCCGCUUCUCCUGGCGGCACCUCUCUACCGGAGUCCAUUCUUCUUGGCUUUCAACGCUGCCUGUUCUUGCUGUGAACUAUUGUUAUAUUACGCUCUGCAGUCGCUCUGCAGAUGGGAGGAAACAAUGAGGACAGGGCAGUUUUUAUGCAGAUGUUGAUGUUUUUGGCUGGAAUCAACACCCUUCUAAAGAGUUUCUUUGGUUACCUAAUUGCCUGCAGUGAUUGGUGGAUCACACACCUUUGUUCUACCUACCAUUUUGAUCAUACUUGUGGGACGCUAUGCAGACGAAUCAGAUCCACACGUAUUAUAUGUUGAAAAGAAGGGUAAUUCUACUUGCCUCCCAGUAAUCUUUUCCUGCAUGUAAACUGAUGAGUCACCUGGAUUUCGUUUUUGAUGGAAUUCCCCAAAAUCUUGCAUGGAGCAAAAGGUGCUUUGAUCGUUGCUUCUGUACUUGGUGAUCUUCUUUACUGUUUAAUAGUUGCUUCAUGUUUCUAUAGGAUACCCCCAUGCUACAUGGCAACCAUAGUGAGCAUGUCAAAAGUUUAGCAUGAUUAUUAUAAUUCUCUUCUCUGUAAAUUAUUAUAUGAAGUUUGCGUUUUGCUUGGUUAACUCUUCUGAAGCUCACAUGCUUUUCUUAAAGCUUGGUGCUGACACUCAUAAAUCUGUUGUAGGCUCACUAUAUAAGAUAAUGAAUCUGUGUUCUAUAGACUAUCGUGGUAAAGAGGUUUUUAUCAGGUUAUUCAUUCCCAUGCAUUGAACCUAUGGUUCUAACUUUUGCCCAUGAUAAAGAAAAUGGGGUUUACCGCUUUUAAUCAACAUCUAAUUAAAUCAACAAAACAUCUACAGUUCCGCCAACAUAACAUUUUUUUUGCUGGUGGACAUACCAAAUUACUCAUAUGUAUCAUAUUAUGUUGCUUCCCAUAUUGUUUUCUCCCAGGAAUGACGAGGCAUUCAGGUUCUCUUUUUAGCUUUCCUACACAGGAACAUAUUGCAAAAUUAAUAUACAUAACGUUGUUCCACCUACAGGUCUAUCUUAUAUCUACAGGUAUAUACAUGCAUUCUUUGUUCUUUUUCUUCAGUGAUCUACUGAUCUUCAUGAUUUAGUUUAGUGGUAGAGUUAGCAAAAUCUGUCAUGGAGCAGAUUGUGCUUGACUUCACGUGUGUAUGAUGUAAUAUGAAUUAAUGGUUUCUUUGUGGUUGACUCGGUUGUGUGCCUUUUGUCUGAAUCAAUAGAGAAAAAUCUGAAUAUAUACCUGAAUGUGGUGGUUUCACACAUUCUGAACGAAGCUACCAAUGAGUAUACCUUGCUUCUGAAAUCAUGAGCUUUUUCCUUCUAUGAAAAGUGAUAAAGUUACAACAUAGUUUGCUCAAAGGCGUGCAUAACUGCAGAUUGAGCAAGGCACAAUCUGAGAAGAAAAUAAAAUAAAAUUAGAAACAGUGUGUGCAUCAUGUGUAUGUUUGCUCACGAGAUGUGUAUAUGUUGGCUGAGCGACGCUGUUGGGAGUGCCGGUCGUGGCGCCUCGCCUCGGGAGCCCGUCGACGUGGUGUGCUCCUGCGUCCCCGCCUUGGCCGCCUCGCGUUGGACAGGAGGGGAUAAGUCAAUCCCUAAUUAAGAUAUCCAAUGAAACUGGCAACAUCAUUAUGGAAUGGAAAUGAUUGGAUGACAAAUUGUAUAGAUUUAGUAUCGUAUCAUUUAUUUGUGACUGCAUGAUCUUAAUUGUGUGUCUCUGAAUAUUUUAUGCCCUUGCUCUUGGAACAUUAGACUGAUGUGGUGUUGCUUUAUAAAUAAAUGACAUGCUUACUUACGGGUUUGAUUUAGGUGUGUAGGCUAAGGCGAAAAAAGAAUCAUAAUCUCAGGUUUGGGCAUGCACAUGGCCACUGAUCACAAAAUAAGUAGGCACAGGUGCAGUAUUGUGAUUUUUAAGCAAGAGAGUGAUUUUCAGCAAGAGAAAGAGAAGUACAGUUAAUUGUUCAUAUUUUAAGCUGCACUUGAACCUUGUCCUAAUAAGUACUCCCUGUGUUUCUAAAUAUAAGUCUUUAUAGAGAUUUCAAUAGAAACUACAUAUGGAUGUAUAUAGACGUAGUUUGGAGUGUAGACUCACUCAUUUUGCUCUGUGUGUAGUCCAUAUUGUAAUAUCUAAAAAUACUUAUAUUUAGGAACGGUGGGAGUAGAACUGUUAUGAUGUUGCUCAAUUAUAAGUGCCUCACUUAAAUGCUUGGUUAGGUCGAGUGUAUAGCAAUGAGAAGUCUAGCUGAACAAUGCUAGAAAUAACAUUAAUGUGUUAUAAGCUUCAGAUAAGCCAAAUAUUUUGUGACAAGCUUUGGAAAUUACCUGGGCUGGGAAACAGCAAUUACCUGGGCUGGGAAACAGCAAUAUGUAGCUAUCACUAAUAAGCCCCAGUUUUUAUAACAAUUAGAAUUUGUGAUUCUAAUCUGAUUCAUUGUGUUACAGGAUCCUUUGCAUAUUGGCCUCUCCUUACCGGCAUCUGGUAAAAGUUGUGAUCGAGGAGAAGAUAAUGACGGUCUUAUAACUCUGGCAAGCCCGGCUGACAGUCCUUCUUGCUCUCCUCUUGGUAUAACAUUCAAUGGUAGUGAUAGCUUUGGGCGUGACUCUGCACCCUUUCAUGUAAUUGUGUUCCUUGAACGAUAUUUAUAAUUGUGAUACUCAGUUUAUGAGAGACAAAUGGACCAAUGGUUAAUGAUCCUGUGUUGAGAAAAAAAAUGGAAUGUGCAUUGAGUGGCUUUA